ACAAAUUCCUACUCCAGUCUCAGAGAACAUGUAAUUCUGAAGUUUCGUCUUUUCCUAAUUCCAUUUAAGCCAGGCGUCAGCCACGUGUGAUUUAACAAGUACGUUUGUGUCAGCACCAGAGUUUCCUUCCUGCUCCUGCCUGACAGCUUCUACAAACUUAUCUCUCAAUUUGACGAUUCUAAUAACCAUUGACGGUUCUAAUUUCUCUAAGAAGAUAUGCAGAAACUUUCCUUCAACAAGUAAGUUCAUCCCAUCCGAUCUAUUUUCAAUUAUUUCUCUCAUUUUUUUUUUCUUUCUUCUGAAUUUUGAUUUGUGGAGGUUUUACUUCAAUUCCUCUUGCUUUUUUUUUCCCCCAAAAGUGGUUUGUUUUCGUGGUCAGCCCGAUCAAAAAAACUACAAAUCGAUUGAAAGGUGUUUUUAUGUUUGCAUCGUUCCCGACGAAACCAAUUUAAUUACUGAGUAAACUCUGUGCUUUCUACACAUUCAUGAACAAUUAUUAGCUUUUGUGGCAGAUUUUGGCCUGGCAAGGAUUAAUGAGGAUAGCUUGAGUCUUGGAUCAAUGCGCGUCAUUGGUACAAUUGGGUAAGAAAAUAAAUUGCUUCCAAGCUACAAACAAGUAACAUAUAGUGAUAUAUAUAUAUAUAUACAACUUAUUCGUUGUAUUAAACACAGGUAUGUAUCCUCUAAAAUCGGACGGGUUCUCCUAUGGUGUAACGCUCUUGCAAGUAAUAACUGGGAAACUAUCUGACGCUGCCAUUGAUGUUUCUUUAAUCUUCUCUGCUACUGGUCCAUGCUUAAAACACAUUGAAAGAAAAAAAACAGAGCACACAUGUAUGGUUCUAACAUUGUUUUAGAGUUUUACAUUCAUCUAGGUUAAAAUUCUAGGAAAAGAAACUUCUGAAAAUCUCUUCAAAUUGAUGCAGGU
rnacentral:lncRNA from 1 species